ACGGGAGGCAGCAGUGGGGGAUAUUGCUCAAUGGGGGAAACCCUGAAGCAGCGACGCCGCGUGAGGGAAGACGGUUUUCGGAUUGUAAACCUCUGUCUUAAGGGACGAAGAAAGUGACGGUACCUUAAGAGGAAGCCACGGCUAACUACGUGCCAGCAGCCGCGGUAAUACGUAGGUGGCGAGCGUUGUCCGGAAUUACUGGGUGUAAAGGGAGUGUAGGCGGGGACACAAGUUGAAUGUCAAAUCUACAGGCUCAACCUGUAGCAGCGUUCAAAACUGUGUAUCUUGAGUGAAGUAGAGGCAGGCGGAAUUCCUAGUGUAGCGGUGAAAUGCGUAGAUAUUAGGAGGAACACCAGUGGCGAAGGCGGCCUGCUGGGCUUUAACUGACGCUGAGGCUCGAAAGUAUGGGGAGCAAACAGGAUUAGAUACCCUGGUA
rnacentral:rRNA from 1 species